rnacentral:rRNA from 1 species
CCUACGGGAGGCAGCAGUGGGGAAUUUUGGACAAUGGGGGAAACCCUGAUCCAGCCAUGCCGCGUGGGUGAAGAAGGCCUUCGGGUUGUAAAGCCCUUUCGGGAGGAAAGAAAAGCAUUGCUCUAACAUAGCAAUGUGAUGACGGUACCUCCAUAAGAAGCACCGGCUAACUACGUGCCAGCAGCCGCGGUAAUACGCGUAGGGUGCAAGCGUUAAUCGGAAUUCUGGGCGUAAAGCGUGCGCAGGCGGCUAGAUAAGCCAGAUGUGAAAUCCCCGAGCUCAACUUGGGAAUUGCGUUUGGAACUGUCUAGCUAGAGUUUGGCAGAGGGGGGAGAAUUCCACCGGUAGCAGUGAAACUGUNUAAAGCGUGGAGAGGAACCGAUAUUGCAGACAGCGAAGGCAGCCCCCUGGGCUAAAACUGACGCUCAUGCACGAAAGCGUGGGGAGCAAACAGGAUUAGAUACCCUGGUAGUCCACGCCCUAAACGAUGUCAACUGGUUGUUGGGAGGGUAAACCUCUUAGUAACGAAGCUAACGCGAGAAGUUGACCGCCUGGGGAGUACGGUCGCAAGAUUAAAACUCAAAGGAAUUGACGGGGACCCGCACAAGCGGUGGAUUAUGUGGAUUAAUUCGAU